ensembl:snRNA U6 U6 spliceosomal RNA
GUGCUUGCUUCAGCAGCACAUAUACUAAAAUUGGAACAAUAGAGAGAAGAUUAGCAUGGCCCCUGUGCAAGGAUGAUGUGAAAAUUUGCUAAGUAUUCCACAUUUUU